rnacentral:rRNA from 1 species
GACGAACGCUGGCGGCGUGCUUAACACAUGCAAGUCGAACGGAAAGGCCCUGCUUUUGUGGGGUGCUCGAGUGGCGAACGGGUGAGUAACACGUGAGUAACCUGCCCUUGACUUUGGGAUAACUUCAGGAAACUGGGGCUAAUACCGGAUAGGAGCUCCUGCUGCAUGGUGGGGGUUGGAAAGUUUCGGCGGUCGGGGAUGGACUCGCGGCUUAUCGGCUUGUUGGUGGGGUAGUGGCUUACCAAGGCUUUGACGGGUAGCCGGCCUGGGAGGGUGGCCGGCCACAUUGGGACUGAGAUACGGCCCAGACUCCUACGGGAGGCAGCAGUGGGGAAUAUUGCACAAUGGGCGGAAGCCUGAUGCAGCAACGCCGCGUGCGGGAUGACGGCCUUCGGGUUGUAAACCGCUUUCGCCUGUGACGAAGCGUGAGUGACGGUAAUGGGUAAAGAAGCACCGGCUAACUACGUG